UACGAAGGGGGCUAGCGUUGUUCGGAAUCACUGGGCGUAAAGGGCGCGUAGGCGGCUUUAUAAGUCGGGGGUGAAAGCCUGUGGCUCAACCACAGAAUUGCCUUCGAUACUGUAGAGCUUGAGACCGGAAGAGGUAAGUGGAACUGCGAGUGUAGAGGUGAAAUUCGUAGAUAUUCGCAAGAACACCAGUGGCGAAGGCGGCUUACUGGACCAACACUGACACUGAGGAGCGAAAGCCAGGGGAGCAAACGGG
rnacentral:rRNA from 1 species